CUACAGAUUGGGCAAAAAUGGAGGACCAUAUGUGUAGUUGGAGACCUAGCUUGCUGUUGCUGUCACUAGUAAUAUAGAUGGAGUGGCUAUGUUUACCAGGAAACUAUAA